ACAUUUUUCAGCCAGCGGAGAAACCAUUCUAUACCAAUCCAUGAACAUGCCAUUCGUGGUUAUGGAUUGGUACAGAAUAGUUUCCCCCAAAACACCUCCCUCCACCCUUUGUAACAGUUGAUUUGCAGCCCAUUCAGGUCAAAGGCAAGCGGCAUGGGCUGGUAUUCAGCAUUUAACUUCUGUUUCAGAACUUUUUAUAUUAGCUUUAGUUGAAAUGUAAAUAUAAUUCUUUUAAUAUAUUGGUUAUUUCAGCACAAAAAGCUAAUUGAUUCCGUUGUCAUCUGUGAAUUUCAUUGGCGGAUCAAGCUGUCCCUCAGGAACAACAGUUUUGUGGGCACCAACCUAUAUAUCAGGGCUCCUGACUUGUUGGAGGACAGUCAUCCUUACCUGGGAAAUAGAUGGUUAGCAUCCAGCACCCUGAAAGAAUUCUCUCAUCUUUGCGGAGGAAGUUUCUUGAAUGACAUUUGGAUUCUGACCGCAGCCCAUUGUUUUAAGCAUCUCCAAAGGAAGGAAGAAACAAAUACCUGGAGGCACGUAUUUGUAGGAAACAACUUAAUGAUUCUUGACUCAUCAUCGCAAAUCCAAAGGAUAAAAGAAGUCAAACAGCCCAAAACCUGUAAUCCAAAAAGAGAGAGAACCAUCAGAAGUUUUGCAAGAAGCCCAUGUGCAUCAAAUUGAUUCUAAGAAAUGUAACGAAAGACUGGUAGGAUGGCACCAAAGGGGAAUACGAUAUAUGUGCAUGCCAUGAGAAAGGAGACAUUGACAGCUGACAGGUACUUGAGA